rnacentral:misc_RNA from 1 species
AAGUCGUAACAAGGUUUCCGUAGGUGAACCUGCGGAAGGAUCAUUAACACGAACUUCAAUAUCCAAUAUCAAACCAAACGUGAACCAAAAAAAACUAUCCUCUAAUAUAGUAAAAUAUAUUAGAGUACUUUUAUAUUUAACCUUUUAUUAACCCCUUUUUACAUCUUGCAUAUUUAAACAUGCAAUUAAUUUUACUAAUUACUAUACUAUUUAAUUAUAGUAUUGUGUAAUUAAACGAAACUAAAUACUAUUAGUAAGAACAACUCUUAACAAUGGAUAUCUAGGUUCUC